rnacentral:rRNA from 1 species
AAACUUUCAACAACGGAUCUCUUGGCUCUGGCAUCGAUGAAGAACGCAGCGAAAUGCGAUAAGUAAUGUGAAUUGCAGAAUCUAGUGAAUCAUCGAAUCUUUGAACGCACAUUGCGCCCCUUG